AAUGGGAUAGCCUAAUGAUGAUUUUUUUGAAAUUAUUUGUGGAAUAUUAUCUGUAGUUCUUCAGGUUACACUGGUAGUCUAGUCUAAACUAGACUUUAGUGGAUUGACCCAUUUCUGAUAUGCGUGGUGACAACAGAUGAGAGGAGAUACCAUGGUGCAUGAUGUUUUUAAAUGGUAUAGCUUCGAUACGAGAAAACCUGGAAGAAGUUAACAACAGGCUUGAGGAAUGGAGAGUAGCACUUGAAGGAAA